rnacentral:rRNA from 1 species
AACGAACGCUGGCGGCAGGCCUAACACAUGCAAGUCGAGCGCCCGCAAGGGGAGCGGCGGACGGGUGAGUAACACGUGGGAAUUUCCUCAAGGUACGGAACAACUCAGGGAAACUUGGGCUAAUACCGUAUGAUGCAGAGAUGCCAAAGAUUUAUCGCCUUGGGAUAAGCCCGCGUCAGAUUAGGUAGUUGGUGGGGUAAUGGCCUACCAAGCCUGUGAUCUGUAGCUGGUCUGAGAGGACGAUCAGCCACAUUGGGACUGAGACACGGCCCAAACUCCUACGGGAGGCAGCAGUGGGGAAUCUUGCGCAAUGGACGAAAGUCUGACGCAGCCAUGCCGCGUGAAUGAUGAAGGUCUUAGGAUUGUAAAGUUCUUUAGUCCUGUGACGAUGAUGACGGUAACAGGAGAAUAA